CCCGCCCUUAAUCUGAGUGGACACCAUCUAAUCAGCCACCAGCCCAGCUGGAAUAUAAAGCAGGCAGAAAAACGUGAAAAGACUGGCCUAGCCUCCCAGCCUACAUCUUUCUCCCAUGCUGGAUGCUUCCUGCCCUCAAACACUGGACUCCAGGUUCUUGUUUUGGGACUUGGACUGGCUCUCCUUGCUCCUCAGCUUACAGAUGCCUAUUGUAGGACCUUGUGAUAGUAAAGGAGAUGUGUGUAUGAGUUCUGCAGAAGUCCACCAAAUGUGGGCCAGGGUUAUUUCCCUGGUGAUGCUCUGAAGCUUUUGCCAAAGGACAAAUGGAAACAGGAAGUACAAUCAUGCACUGGGGUAAAGAAGAUUCAUCUGCUCUUAGCUACCUACCAUGCCAACACUCCUGAGAAAGCUCACAGAGGCCCAUGAUGCCCACCUGGAUCUGAGGACCUAGAAAGCCACAACAGGCAACCAUAAUCUGGGUCUUCCCUCAGCCAACUCCCCUGCAUAAAGUGAAUGAAUGAAAAACCCAUCUUAUAUUAAUCAGAGUUCUCUAGAGAAAAAGAACCAAUCAGAUGUGUAUAUAUAGAAAGAGAGAAUUAUUUUAGGGAAUUAGCUCACAUCAUUAUGCAGGCUGGUCAAUCAAAAAUCUGUGGAGUGGGCUAGCAGGCUGGAGACCCAGGGAAAGGCUAAAUUGCAGUUUAGAUCAGAAGGUCAUCUACUGGCAGAAUUCCCUCAUCUUCCAGGAAGGUGGAUCUUUUUCUACCAAGGCCUUCAGUUUAUUAGAUUAGGCCCAUGAACAUGCUGGAGGGUAAUCUGCUUUACUCAAUACAUACUGAUUUGAAUGUUAGUAUCAUCAAAAAGACCUUCACAGAAACAUCUAAAAUAAUGUUUGACCAAAUGUCUGCAUACCAUGGCCAAGCCAAGUUUACACAUAAAAUUAAUUAUCACACAUCCCACGAACACCAUCCCCAACAGAUGCUCAUGAGCAUUGUGGUUAUGAUUUCAACUUCAGAAUAAGGCAGAAAUGUGUACAAAUCCUGACCCUUUGACUUAUCAGCUCUCUAAAAAUCAUUAUAUGUCAACUUUCUAGACUUUACCUGAAAAACAGAAACCAAGAUACCCACAGCAUAAGAUUGUUAGGAUUGAAGAAAUUGUUACGAUUGUUAGGUAUGAAGAAAUUUAAACAAUGAUGCAGCUGAGAUAUUUAGAAUUGUACCUGGCAUGUACUUUGUAUUAAAUAACUAAUAAGGCCUUUUUCUGGUGAAAACAAAAUAAGCCUGGAUAAAAGAAGAUGAGACCAGAUUGGUUGAUGGCUCGGCCUGGGUGGGCUCCUGGCCCAUCUGAAAUUACAUUACUCUUAUGUAGUGCCUUUUUUGUUAUUGCUAAAAUAAAAUAAAUAAAACACUCUACUUUCAUACUUUGUAAAAUGCACUUCUCAUUCAGUUCCUCUUCCUGUGCCUUUUCCCUAUUGUCUAUCUGCACACAGCUGUUUUCUUCUGCACAUUUUCAUCACAGAGAAUUACCAGGUGUAGGUCAAAAGAUGCCACAGAGAUAACAAAGGAAAGGAAAAGCUUUUCUGCACUUCUAUCCUUGUAAGCACAAAAAUUAAUCACACUUUCAGUAAACAGGUCAGGUAAGUCAGUCCUGCACUUGAACCUUUUCUCCCCAAAUAAAUAGUUGAAAUGGGAAUGUCGAUUUCUGUAUUUGAACAGAAAUGUAUUAGUGUAGCUUUCAAAAGAAGACUACUCUCUCCAUAUGAAUAUCAUCAGACCCACAAAUACACAUAUGCAUACAUUCACAGUUCAUCCUAACGCUGCAGAAUAUUCUAAGAGUAACACAUUUCUGUACAAAUCAAGCAGCAGCUUUCACUUGCAUGCUAAUCUUCAAAUUAAUUCUGCAAUGAUCCAUUCAUUCCACAUCCCAACCUACAUCCUCAGAAAAACAAAGAUGUAAGUAAGGAACUCAGUAUAACAUGUUUGACUUUAGACACUACUCAAAUAUACUCAAACUUUAUAUGAAUAUGGAUAUUGCUCCUAGAUUAGGCAGUUCAGAAAACAAAUCUUGAUUAUUCUUAGUUACAAUGUAGUAUAAAAUAACAACAAUUUCAUGUCAACAACAGAAUCUCCUAAAAGAUCUUAUAAAGAUAAAAAGUCUUAGGUGUUAGUCGUCAAAGACUAAGUUGUAAAUGUAUCAUUGUAUUUGUGUAGUUAAUAAAACCCUAGACAAGAUAUGGGUUCCAGUUCUUGAACCACCACCACCUGUUCACCUUAAAUAAGUCAACUAAC
rnacentral:lncRNA from 1 species